rnacentral:misc_RNA from 1 species
CAAGAAACCCUACGGUAUUACUCCUCGGAGUAUUGCCGCUAGGUUAUUUCACAACCCUUUGUUGUCCGACUCUGUUGCCUCCGGGGCGACCCUGCCUUCGGGCGGGGGCUCCGGGUGGACACUUCAAACUCUUGCGUAACUUUGCAGUCUGAGUAAACUUAAUUAAUAAAUUA